rnacentral:rRNA from 1 species
AGCGAACGCUGGCGGCGUGCCUAACACAUGCAAGUCGAACGUGAAAAGGGAAACCUGAGUAAAGUGGCGUACGGGUGAGUAACGCGUAGGUAAUCUACCCCAGAAUCUGGAAUAACCUACCGAAAGGCGGGCUAAUACUGGAUAGAGCGAGGGAACUCGUAAGAGAGUUUUUCGGGAAAGGGAGCCCGCAAGGGCCUUCGUUCUGGGAUGAGCCUGCGUCUCAUUAGCUAGUUGGUAAGGUAACGGCUUACCAAGGCGAUGAUGAGUAGCUGGUCUGAGAGGAUGAUCAGCCACACUGGAACUGAAACACGGUCCAGACUCCUACGGGAGGCAGCAGUGGGGAAUCUUGCGCAAUGGACGAAAGUCUGACGCAGCCACGCCGCGUGAGUGAAGAAGGCCUUCGGGUUGUAAAGCUCUGUCGGAUGGGACGAACAUCUUCAUAGUGAAUAGCUAUGAGGACUGACGGUACCAUCAAAGGAAGCACCGGCUAACUCCGUG